CCAUCAUUGAGUUGGGCACUCUAAAGAGACUGCCGGUGUCAAACCGGAGGAAGGUGGGAUGACGUCAAGUCCUCAUGGCCUUUAUGACCAGGGCUACACGCGUACUACAAUGGCCGGUACAAAGGGCAGCGACACAGCGAUGUGAAGCGAAUCCCGAAAAGACCGGUCUCAGUCCGGAUUGGAGUCUGCAACUCGACUCCAUGAAGUUGGAAUCGCUAGUAAUCGCAGAUCAGCAUGCUGCGGUGAAUACGUUCCCGGGUCUU
rnacentral:rRNA from 1 species